UAUCCUCUGUCCUGCUCCACCUGUUGUCUCUGCCUUCUUUCCAUCUGUAUUUCACCCUGUGGUUUGUGAGAAAUUUUGCCAAACCAAGAAUCUUAUUGCGGUUUGAUUUCAAAGCCGUGUCUCUCCUGCUCUGUCUGUUCUCUCUGCUAAAUUUUCUCUCUACCUGUUUUUCACUCUUUGGCUUGCUGCUGAGAAAUGCACAAGCCAAUAAAGCAAUAAAGAGUGCAUAUUUUGCCUCAACCUUUGAACAAACUGAACAAACAAAGAAAACUCUACGGUUUGAUUUCAAAACCGUGUCUUUCCUGCUCUCUCUGUUCUCUCUGCUAAAUUUUCUCUCUACCUGUUUUUCACUCUUUGGCUUGCUGCUGAGAAAUGCACAAGCCAAUAAAGCAAUAAAGAGUGCAUAUUUUGCCUCAACCUUUGAACAAACUGAACAAAGAAAACUCUGCGGUUUGAUUUCCAAGCCGUGUCUCUCCUGCUCUGCCUGUUCUCUCUGCUAAAUUUUCUCUCUACCUGUUUUUCACUCUUGGCUUGCUGCUGAAAAAUGCCAAGCCAUUAAAGCAAUAAAGAGUGCAUAUUGCCUCUACCUGAGAACAAACUGAACAAAUAAAGAAAACUCUAAUUCACGGUUUGAUUGUCAUUUCCCAGCCGCGUCUCUCCUGCUCUGUCUAUUCUCUCUUCUAAAUUUUCUCUCUACCUGUUUUUCAUUCUGGGCUUGCUGCUAAGUUGUGCCAAGCCAAUAAAGAGAGUACAUAAUAUUCUCUCGACUGACAAACUGUCAAACAAACAAAGACAUUGUUUCUGAGAAAUAAAAGCUGAAAUAUAAAGACAAAGAAAACAUCUCCUGCUGUGUGCCACUCUUGUUUUUUGAAUACAUUUUCUAAAGACUAACAGAAACACUUAAAGGUGUGUAAAAAUGCCAAAAAAGCAGAAAAAGUCACAAGCUGCAAAACAACGCUGGAAGAAGUUCCAUGAGUUUCACAAAGUACCAACAUGUGAACAAACUGAGUGUGAUUUUCCUCAGAGCUCUGCAGAAGACCGUGUGUCUGGAAAGACCAAUGCUGAUGGUGUCAAACAGGCAGGUCGACAUGUUCCUGCACAUGUACAACAGGUAUCCUAUGCAGAUGCUGUAAAGACUGGAUUGCAGCAUGCAUUUAAUGAACAUCAGGUAAACCAUAGAGACCAACCUGAGGUGUCAAGUGCCCCACAGGUGGGUUAUGCUGAUAUUGUGAAAAGAGGCCAUCACAGUGAUGUGGCAGGGCCAUCUCAUGCAGAAAGAGUGAACCUUGAAAACCAGCCCUCUGUAACACAUGUCUGUGCAUCUCACAGCCAGGCACAUCCUAAAUAUGGAGACUCCAGAAACAGUCAGUGCACAUGUAACUCACUCACAUUUCUUGCUUUCCUUCAUGAGAAUGAAAACAUGUCUACAGUUGACCUUAAUCUGGUCUUGGAUAAAGGUGAUGUGAUGUACAAAGAGGCCAAGAAAAGAUUCCCCAAGAGUAUUCAUUUGGCAACCGAUGAGCUGCCAGACAAAGUUGAUGCUCACAGGUCUAUGUAUCAUGUCGACAUGACACAGCCUUCCCGGUAUGGGACAUUUGAAGAACCUCCAGAGGAAGCAGUAGAUACCUUUCUCAGCUUAGAAGCAGGACUGAGCUGCCUGUUGUCAGAUGUGCAGUAUGCCUUACUGAUUAUGAGUGGAUUGUGUAUCGCAGUGUUCAGAUCCACAUCAGGAAAAUAUGGGUUCUUUGACCCACACCCCAGAACACCCAGUGGUCUUCCUCUAGCACUAUGGUCACGUAAUCGUGGUACAGCUGUGAUGCUGAAAUUCACACUCCUCAGUGACAUGAUUAAGAGGCUCCAAGAUUCUUAUGAAGAGAUGGAGAUAUCACCCUCUUGUACCUAUGAGCUGAAGCCUGUGCAGUUUUACAGUAUGAGCACAAUCAACCUGAGUGAUACUAUCACAGACACAGUCUGCAGACCAACAGCUGCCACUGCUGUGGCACCUACUCACUCUGAUACAACUGUUGAUGAAGCAAACCCCUUUACUCCAAGGAGAAACACAACCACUGAUCUGACUGAGAACAUCUUUUGUCAAAUGUCCAUUUGUACACCACUGGUGAAACAAAAAGAAGUCCACAUGACUCAGUUCACAUCACAUGAAGAUCAGAAUGAACCUCCUAAUAUACCAACUGAAGAACUAUGCAGUGAAUUAAGUUUCCUUCCAUCAAGGGAUGGUUUUUCAUGUCAAUCAAAUGCUGCAAUAAAAAAUGUUGCUGCCUGUGACCUUUCUGAUAUAGUUUUACAAAAACUGAAAAAAGUUAAUAAACAACAAAGGCACAAAAUGAAAAGAAGAUUAAUGGCAUCAGAGAAACCCAGAAAUCAGAGAAAAGAAAACCAAAAAAGGAAAGAACGACAAAAGUAUGCUUCAAAUAAAGAGUACAAAGAAAAGAAAAAAUCUUGCACAAGCGAGGUAUAUAAAAACAAUCCUGAAGUUAGACAGAAAAAACAACAGUAUAUUAAAAGACGUUACUGUGAGAAUGCUGAAUUCAGAAAUAAACAACAACAGUAUGUUAAAAGACGUUACUGUGAGAAUGCUAAAGUUAGACAAAAUCAAAAACAAUAUAUUAAAAGACGUUACUAUGAGAAUACUGAUUUCAGAGAGGAGAAAAAAAGCUACAUCACUAAAAGGUAUCGAGAAAACUUAGAAUUCAGAGAGAGACAGAGAUGUCGAGUUACUCAGCGGUAUGCAAAUGACAACACCUUCAGAGUAAGACACAGACAACUGAUGAAACAACUAAUGCGAGACAGGUAUCAAAGUAAUCUUGCAUUUAGGAUUAUGCACAACAUGAGAUGUGCCAUGAAAAUAAAAAGGAAAUACAGAUGGGUGAACAGACAAACCCAAGAGAGUGACAACAGUGUGAUCAACGAGGCCAUAUCGGUGUUCAAAUCACAAAUCAAAGUUGGACCAUCAUACCCAUGUACUGUAUGUUUCAAGGCUUCAUUUCCAAACCAAGUACGACCCUGCAGAAGGUCAAAUUAUGUCAAAAACCCACAUGUGGUUGCAACAUGUUUGACAGGAAAGUUUGUUCAUGUUUGUGAUGAAAACUGCAGAAAUGAGCAGUGCAAUGUGCCUGAUGAGAGAAAGAGAGAGUGGAUUUGUCACACCUGCCACAAUCAUCUUAAAAAUGGAUCCAUGCCAGCACUUGCUGUUGCCAAUAAACUGGAUCUUGCUGAUAUUCCACCUGAAUUGUCAGAUCUCAACAUACUGGAGAGACAUCUCGUAGCCAAGUGCAUACCAUUUGCCAAGAUUAUUCCUCUUCCCAAAGGCAGACAAAGAGCAAUUAGAGGAAAUGUGGUCUGUGUCCCAUCAGAGGUACAGGAAACUGUUGAAGCAUUGCCUCGAUUGAGAAUUAAUUCUCAGGUGAUGAGAGUAAAACUGAAGAGACGCUUGUCUUACAAAGGUCAUCAGCUGUUUCAGACUGUAAGCUGGUCUAAACUUGUGCAAGCACUGCAUAAACUCAAGCAGAUUCAUCCACAGUAUAAGGAUGUGAGCAUCAGAGAUGAUGCUGAGCUGUGUGAUCCAACACUUCCUGAUGAAGAUGAGGAGGAUGAUGAUGAAAACAUGAAUGAGGACGAUUAUGAUGAGGCUGAUUUAAUGGAAAUUGACAGCUGUGAGAAAAAUGCACUGAGUGAAGCACAAAAUAAAAAUGAACAGGAUAUUGACAUGUUACCCUGUGAUGGUGAACAACCACAUGAGCAGAUGAGAGAUGAUUCAGAGCAAGCAGAUGGACUGACUAAUGGUGGUUUUGCACUCGAGUCCUGUUUGCAGCCCCCUGAUGUGGCUGAGGAAAUAUUAUGUUUCAGUGAAGGAAUCUACUCUGUUGCUCCUGCAGAGAGAAACAAUCCAAUAAGUUUUUUCAAAACACCUAAACUGGAGGCCAUGGCCUUCCCUGUGCAGUUUCCUACAGGCCAAAACACACUGGAUGAAAGAAGGCUGAUCAAAGUAUCCCCCAGUGGGUAUUUCAAAUCAAGACUUUUCUGCAUUGAUGAUCGUUUUGCCAAAGACACAAACUAUUUGUUCUUUGCACAGUUUGUGACUGAAAUACACUUGGCUACUUCCAGCAUGACAAUCCAGUUAAGGAAGGCAAAGCCUUUGACCAGAGAUGGGAGAAAAAUAACCUCAGGCAUGUUACAAGAUAAGCAUGAGGUUGAGAAACUGGUGCGAAAUAAAGAUGCAGUGAGAUUCAUGCAGCCUCUGAGAGGAACCCCAGCCUAUUGGGAGAAAACAACAAGAGAUCUUUUUGCCAUGAUCAGACAGUUGGGAACUCCCACGUUCUUUUGCACAUUUUCAGCUGCUGAAAUGCGCUGGCCUGAAGUGAUUGAAGCAAUAACAAGGCAGCAAGGUGAACAAGUCAAUUUUGAAGGACUCGACUGGUCAGCAAAGUGUGACAUCCUGAGAAGCAAUCCUGUCACAACAAUGCGCAUGUUUGACAAGAGAGUUGAAGCAUUAUUCAGAGAUUUACUCUUAUCUCCUGCAGAGCCACUUGGCAAAGUCAUUGACUACUUUUACAGAGUUGAGUUUCAGCACAGAGGAAGCCCACACAUACACUGUCUCCUGUGGGUAGAAGGUGCUCCUGUGUUUGAGGAGGAUGAUGAGCAAACUGUUGUUGAUUUUAUAAACAAAUACAUCACAGCUCAGCUGCCUGAUCCACAUAAACAACCUGAACUGUACAAGAAAGUAACAGAAGUGCAAAAACACAGUAAGAACCACACAAAGACGUGCUUUAGGAGUUUAAGCUCCGGGUGCCGUUUUGGUUUUCCCAAACCACCCUGCAAUGAGACAAUGAUCACAAGACCCAGUGAGGAUGAUGAACUGGAAGUAGAAACAGCAAAGAACAAGCUCAGACCACUGAACCAGCUGCUGAAUGAACCUGAAACUGCUUCCAUGAGUUUAAGGCAGCUCUUGGCUCGAUGCAAGUUGACACAUGCAGAAUAUGAGAGAUACCUGAAUAAAAUGAACACAAGGAGUACGAUCAUACUAAAGCGUGAUCCAAAAGACUCUUGGAUAAAUGGCUAUAAUCCACAUCUGCUUGAAGCCUGGAACAGUAAUAUCGACAUAAGCUUUGUUUUAGAUGCUUUCGGCGCUGCAAACUAUUUAAUGAAAUAUAUAUCAAAAAAAGAGGGCGGGCUAUCUGAGUACCUGAAAACUGUCAUUGAAAACUCCCAUAAAGACAGUGUAAAUGAGUGCGAUGAAAUGAGAGCCGUCAUGCAGGCAUAUUCAAAGAAGCGAGAGAUCAGUGCACAGGAGUGUGUUGCUCGUGCAUGUGGUCUUCACAUGAAGCAAUGUUCACGUGCUGUAAUAUUCAUACCAACUGAUGAUAAUCCUGUGAAAAUGAGUCGUCCCCUGUCAGUUCUGGACAACACAACACCUGAGUCUUCCAAUGUUUGGAUGACAUCUUUGAAUGACAAAUACAAAGCCAGACCUGAAACACCAGAGUAUGAGGAGAUGUGCAUGGCAGACUUUGCUGCUACUUGCAGGAUUGUCUAUGGCCAACAGACAAAAGGUAAAGAUGUUUUGCCCCUUCUCAAUGAGAUGGGAUUUGUGCAAAGGCGCAAAAACGAUAAGCCUGCUAUCAUCAGAUUUCACCGCUGCUCACAAGAAAAACAUCCAGAGCAAUAUUACGGAAGACUGCUUAAACUGUACCUUCCUCAUCGUUCAGACCACGAACUGAAAACACCAUCGUUGCCAACCUAUCAGGCUUUCUAUGGUGCUGGCUGUGUACAGCUACCAGGUACUGACUGUCUUGAGUACGUGCAACACAUUGUCAAAAGAAACAGAGAGAAAUAUGAGAAAAACAGCGAGGAGAUUGAGAGCGCUGUUGAGGAAUAUGAGCAGAACAGAGGUGUGACUGACGAAUGGUGUAAUCUGGCACCUGAAUCAGAUCUCGUAAGGUUGCCACUUGUUGAACAAGAAAGAGAGCAAGACAAUGAAAAUGAACAGGAAGAUGUGCCCGACUACAGCCGUCAGGCUGAUGCUUCAACAGAAGUCAGAGCCAUCAGGGAACCCCCUGCUAUUGAUCCCACAUUGUUACGUCAGAUGUUUCAGAAUCUGAAUAAGAAGCAAGCCUGCAUAUUUUAUGCAGUUAGAGACUGGUGCAUUAAAAGAGUCUGUGCUCUAAAUCCGGAGCAGUUUUUCUUUUAUAUUAAUGGUGGUGCUGGAACAGGAAAAUCACAUCUUAUCAAAUGCAUCUACUCAGAAGCAUCUAAGAUACUGAGCAAAGUGCCCAGAUAUGCAGACGACGUUGACAUAUCAAAACCCACUGUCCUGUUAACUGCUUUCACUGGGACUGCAGCAUUUAACAUUUCUGGAACAACUCUGCAUUCUCUUCUCAAGCUCCCUAGAAGCUUAAAACCUCCCAUUCAGGGACUUGGCAAUCAGCUGGAUGAAGUCAGAUCAGAACUUUUGAAUGCUGAAAUAAUCGUCAUUGACGAAGUGUCUAUGGUGUCAAGACAUCUCUUUGCAUAUGUAGAUGCAAGACUCAAACAGAUCAAAGGGACUCGGAGACCCUUUGGAGGCAUGUCAGUCAUUGCUGUUGGAGACUUCUAUCAGCUACCCCCAGUGCGACAGUCGAAACCUCUCUGUGUGCACGACCCGUCCGAGAUCGACCUGUGGCGGGAGCAUUUUCAGAUGAUCACUCUGACUGAGAUUAUGCGUCAGAAAGAUGAUGUUGUCUUUGCUGAGAUGCUGAACAGAAUCCGUGUGAAAGGAAAGUUGGAUGUGCUUUGUGAAGCAGAUAGAAAUUUGUUGUCACAGGCCAUAACUGAACCAGCCCAUUGUCCGACUGAUGCGUUGCACAUUUUUGCAACUAACAAAGAAGUGGAUGCACACAACUCUGCAACACUGGGUCUGCUCCAUACUCAUAUCAUUGACAUCCAUGCAGAUGAUUAUAGAAAGGAUCCUAGAACUGGCAGAAUGGCAUUACAAGACAGACCAUUCAAAGGAGGUAAAAACGAGUUACCAGACACACUGAAAGUUGCAGAAGGAGCUCGUGUCAUGCUCACCAGAAACAUUGACAUACAAAAUGGUUUGGUUAAUGGAGCUUUUGGAAAACUACUUAGAGUAGUUUACUCUGAAAAUGACCGACACAUCAUCAAGCUUGGACUUAAAAUGGAUAAUGAGACAUCUGGAAAGAAUAACCGCACACCAGCAGACGACAUGGUGUACAUUGAGAGAGCAGAGGAGAAUCUGAAGCAGAAAGGAGUGGUACGAAGACAGUUCCCAGUGAAGCUGGCCUUUGCAUGUACAAUACAUAAGGUACAGGGAAUGACAACCACAUCAGCUGUUGUCUCUCUUAAGAGCAUUUUUGAGCCCGGCAUGGCCUACGUAGCUGUCAGUAGAGUGACGUCUCUCAAUGGACUCUAUCUUCUUGAUAUGGAGGAGAAAAAAAUAUUCACCAAUCCAGAAAUCACUGCAGCACUUGAGAACAUGAGACAAGCCAACCUUGAUGACAUGAUGCCUCUUCUACAUGUGAGACAAACACUGAGCAGGUCAGAGGUUUUCACCAUUGUUCAUCAUAAUACAGAGGGACUGCCAGCUCACAUUAAUGACAUCAAGAGUCACCAUGAAUUGUGUCUAGCAGAUGUUUUGUGCCUAACAGAAACACACCUGCGGGGCUCUUUUGUCGCAGAGAGUCUCCAUUUGGAAAAUUACAAUUUGUUCAAACGCAACAGACACCUGUCCUACACAAACUUUCCCCAGAUGGCAAACAGAAAUGGUGGUGGAGUUGCUGUUUAUGUGAAAAGUGACAUUCAAGUGCAUGAAAAACAGUACAUCCAUAAUGUAACUGACCUUGAAUUUCUGGCUUUAAAGGUUGAAGCACCAGUCAGUGCUCUAAUUGCAGUUGUGUACAGACCUCCAGACUACACUCUGAGGCCAUUCCUGAAAAACCUGGUAAGCCUAUUAGACUCAUUAGAGAUCAUGGACUGUCAUCCCAUCAUAGUGUGUGGUGAUUUUAAUGAGAAUGUUUUAUCUAUUGCAAACAAACCAAUCCUGGAGCUGUUUGAGUCUAGGGGAUACGCACAGGUCAUCACUGCCCCUACCACAGAGAAGAACACACUGCUUGACCUUAUUUUCAUUUCUCAGCCAGAGCGAUGUCUCCAUUCUGGAGUCAUGAAGACCUACUAUAGUUACCAUGACCCUGUAUACUGUGUAUUGUCCUGUGAUGAUUCAUGAUCUAGAUCUUUGACUACAGUAAGUAAUUUCUAUAUUUUUGAAUGACUUAAGAAAGUAGAGCGAUAUUUAAAAGUUGACUUAAGAAAAAGCGCCCUGCAUUGCAAUAUAAUGUUUCAAUUGUCUACAUAAAAUACAAUUAAAUGAAUUAAGUAAUGAUAUCAGUAAAAGAUGACAAUUUUAUGUAUUACAGAAAAUCUAAAAAUCAGAAAUCUAUGAAUGUCAGAAAAAUCAAAUAUAGCAGUUUAAAACGAACAGUGUAGGCAUAUCCUCUCUGCAGCCAGGCUUCAAAAUCCUGCCAGGCUGCCCCAGUCUCACUGUGGCUGGGAGGGAGGGAGGGUGGACCAGAGGAUUGCCCACACAACACAUAAAUGUUCAACAGCUUCUUCAUUGUUUCUGAGAGAACAACACAGACUAAAGGUUGCUUUUUUUUAAAAAAGAAAAAAAAAGAAAAAGAAAAAUCUAAUUACAGCAAUAAUGACAGUUAAGCCAGUUUAUCUGUGCCUCUAUUUUGAAAUACUAUUUACUAAAAUGUUAUUGAUUUUGGUUUGUUAUAAUCUUUAAACUUUUUCAAAAGUAUAUUAUUAUAUUUUUGGACAAAUCUUUCAAUGAAACAUACAUUUUUAUGAGCUUUUAUCAUGUUUCAGCCAGUGCAUUUAUCAGGGUGGGUCUGGGAUGAUAAAUGCACUGGCUGAUAACUGCACAUUUCUGGCCAGAAAUGUUUCAGCAGUGUUACAUAUGCACUACAUAUGUUAAACUUGCUUUUUGUUACCAGUUGAUACCCUACAUUUGUAUAGACAUUGGGUGGUGUGAGGCUGGGGAGUUGAGUGGAGUGGGUAGGUGGGAGUUGAAUGUGGGGGGGUACGGUGGGAGGUUGUUAGGUUUCUUUUUUUUUUUUUUUUUUGUAAAGAGAGACACAGUCCUCCUGUGUCUUCUCCAAGCUUCACAUGGUAAAUCCAACAGUGUGAAGCACAUAGCAGCCAGAAACUGUAAUGCCACAGAUCAGAGAGGCUUCAUCAUCACCAUCUUCGCCGUACGAUCAGAGCAUGAGACUUCACAUCUGGAGCACAGGAGAGAUUCUGUGAUAAGUCCUCCUUCUAGCUUGUCCCACAAGCAGUCGGUGAGAUUUACUCACAACAAAAAGGGUUAAUGACAUUAUUUUCAUGGAAACGUAUUAAUUCUUUGUAAAGUGUUUAAAUUGUGUUUUCACUUGACCUUAGGAGUGUUAUUUUGAGUGUAUUUUAAUAUCUGUACUCAGGUGUUUCCCUCUGUGAUCCAUCCCCUUCAGAGCUGAGACACUCAGGACUGAACAGACUGCACAGUUUCUGUGACCGAGCCUCCAAAACACCUUCUUUGAAACCACACAUGAUAGAAGGGCUUUAUAUUUGCAGCAGCACUACUAAAGGUAUUCAGUUUAUUACAGGAUGUGUUUGUUUCUUAGGACCAGCUCUAAGUGCACACUACCUAACAUAUACACCUUUCUGUUCAUUACAAACCAACUACUCUGGAUCAUAUGGCCAGUCGGCAGGAAUGUUGCUGCAGGAAAACAUCCCUGAAGAUCACCAUCAUUGUCAGACUGACUGUGCCUCCUCUGUGCAGUGUCAAGAUCCUCCCUAAAUGAGUGUCUAUCCUGCUUCUGUGCUGCUUGCCACACAUCAAACACUGGCCGGAUGACAGGGAGGAUCCACUCUGAAGUCACUGGACAUGAUGAGGAUCAUAUGGGACUUUAUAGUUUCACAGAAAUGUUGUGCUCUUUGAUUACAGGUUUUAAAUGGACAUAAUGACUGCCUCUCUCUGAUCUGACAGGCUAAAGGAUUGUUUUCAUUGUUAGUGCUCUGUACAGUGUAUGCUUAUUUAAUAUUUCAUCACAGAGCAAACCUUUAUUUAUUUAACAUAUUUUUAUUUUGUUUUAAUGUUGAAUUAACUGUGGGGAUUUUUUUAAGUGGGCACUCGGGAUGUCAUAUGACCAGAAAUGUGGUAACUGGAAUUCAACAGUAUGUAAAGAAAGAAUCUGCUAAGAACAUAACACACACAAAAACCCCCAAGAGAACUCAAAUUCGUUCCAUGUAAUCCAAUCUAAAACAUUUUAAACUGCUGAACAGCAACACAAACAGUGUUAAAGAAACAGUGUUAACAGAAUAAUUAUGAUGAGUUUGUACCAAAGUUUCAGGUCACAUGGCACACCUAGUGUGUAGUGUGGGGUAUCAGCUGGUAAGUAUAGGUUUUUUCAUAUUUGUGUCCUUAGAGUUUAGAUAGAUAAAGCCUUGUGUAUAAUAAUUAGUCAUAACCACAACUCAAAGUCAGGGAUUAACUAAAUUUGGGACUUUGUGUCUGAGCCCAGGUUAAAACACAGUGUAAAAAAGCAUUUAGUGGCAUGGCUGAACAAUGCUGUAAACUAAUGAUACUUAUUUAUCCAUGUUCACAAAAAGGACUAAUGUGUUCAUUUGAUUAUUUGUAUGUGUUAAACUGUGUCACCACCUUAGGCUUUCGUUUGAGUUCACUCAAAAAUCUCUAUACAGUUCUCUUUUACCACUGUGUGGACACUGUUUACAAUAAAACAUAAAAAAGAAUGAGUAAUAAAAAGAUGUGUAGACAGAUCAGUAGAUUCAGUAGACCAAUAUUAGCAGCUGUUCAGCCAUGUUCUACGAAACAAACACAAUUUAAAGGUUCAGGAUUGUGGUUUUAAAAGUUGAAUUUUCAUGUAUUUCAUAUGUUGCUUAUUAUUUUUAUUUGGUUAUUUAAUUUAGUUAUUUUUAUUUAUUCUCCUGUGAAGUGUUUAACAAAAAAAAGCAACUUUAAUUUCAAUUUUAUUUGUUUAUUAUUUGGUAAUUUGUUCUUUAAGAAUCGAGUCUGUGCCAAAAACUAAAGUUGAACAGACACAUGACAGGAUCAGAUUAUUAACACCUUAAAACAUUGCAAACGUCUCUUUUUAAAAUGAUUUUUAUUUUUAUUCUAUUUCGAAAAAAAAAAAACAUUUGUUGAAUUAAUUUAAGUCCUUUUCAGAAAGAAGCUGUACAAUAUGACUUAAGAUUUUUAUGUUAUUUUCUAUGAUAUACAAAACAAAUUGAUGUAUGUAAUACCAUUAAACAUGAUAUACACAUAUGUAUAUGUCUGAAAAACAUUAUGCUGUAUAUUAAAGCUUGUAUUUUCUCCA